ACAACAUUCGGACCGUCGGUCUACCGAGCAAUAUCACUCGCUCAGUGGAAGGUCUUCCUUUCGUCAU
rnacentral:pre_miRNA from 1 species